rnacentral:rRNA from 1 species
GAUCCUGGCUCAGGAUGAACGCUGGCGGCGUGCUUAACACAUGCAAGUCGAACGAAGCACUUCAUAAAGUUUACUUUAAGAAGUGACUUAGUGGCGGACGGGUGAGUAACGCGUGGGUAACCUGCCUUACACAGGGGGAUAACAGUUAGAAAUGACUGCUAAUACCGCAUAAAACAGCAGAGUCGCAUGACUCAACUGUCAAAGAUUUAUCGGUGUAAAGAUGGACCCGCGUCUGAUUAG